AGCAGCCGCGGUAAUUCCAGCUCCAAUAGCGUAUAUUAAAGUUGUUGCAGUUAAAAAGCUCGUAGUUGAAUUUCGGGAUCAAUAUAUCGGUCGUGCCUUGGUACGUACUGGUAUCAUUGGUUUCUCCUUUCUGACGAACCAUGAUGUCAUUAAUUUGGUGUUAUGGGAAGUUAGGACUGUUACUUUGAAAAAAUUAGAGUGUUUAAAGCAGGCUUUAGCUUGAAUACAUUAGCAUGGAAUAAUGAAAUAGGACGUUCGAACCUAUUUUGUUGGUUUCUAGGAUCAACGUAAUGAUUAAUAGGGAUAGUUGGGGCAUUAGUAUUCAAUUGUCAGAGGUGAAAUUCUUGGAUUUAUUGAAGACUAACUACUGCGAAAGCAUUUGCCAAGGAUGUUUUCAUUAAUCAAGAACGAAAGUUAGGGGAUCGAAGACGAUCAGAUACCGUCGUAGUCUUAACCAUAAACUAUGCCGACUAGGGAUCGGAUGAUGUUAAUUUUUUAAUGUACUCAUUCGGCGCCUUAC
rnacentral:rRNA from 1 species